UACGUAGGCAGCGAGCGUUGUUCGGAAUUACUGGGCGUAAAGAGUGUGUAGGCGGUGCUCUAAGUUCGGUGUGAAAUCUCCUGCUUAACUGGGAGGGUGCGCCGGAAACUGGAGUGCUCGAGCGUGGGAGAGGAAAGCGGAAUUCCUGGUGUAGCGGUGAAAUGCGUAGAUAUCAGGAGGAACACCUGUGGUGUAGACGGCUUUCUGGACCAUAGCUGACGCUGAGACACGAAAGCGUGGGUAGCAAACAGG
rnacentral:rRNA from 1 species